rnacentral:rRNA from 1 species
UGUCUAAUACAGGCAAGUCGAGCGAACAGACGAGGAGCUUGCUCCUCUGACGUUAGCGGCGGACGGGUGAGUAACACGUGGAUAACCUACCUAUAAGACUGGGAUAACUUCGGGAAACCGGAGCUAAUACCGGAUAAUAUAUUGAACCGCAUGGUUCAAUAGUGAAAGACGGUUUUGCUGUCACUUAUAGAUGGAUCCGCGCCGCAUUAGCUAGUUGGUAAGGUAACGGCUUACCAAGGCAACGAUGCGUAGCCGACCUGAGAGGGUGAUCGGCCACACUGGAACUGAGACACGGUCCAGACUCCUACGGGAGGCAGCAGUAGGGAAUCUUCCGCAAUGGGCGAAAGCCUGACGGAGCAACGCCGCGUGAGUGAUGAAGGUCUUCGGAUCGUAAAACUCUGUUAUUAGGGAAGAACAAAUGUGUAAGUAACUAUGCACGUCUUGACGGUACCUAAUCAGAAAGCCACGGCUAACUACGUGCCAGCAGCCGCGGUAAUACGUAGGUGGCAAGCGUUAUCCGGAAUUAUUGGGCGUAAAGCGCGCGUAGGCGGUUUUUUAAGUCUGAUGUGAAAGCCCACGGCUCAACCGUGGAGGGUCAUUGGAAACUGGAAAACUUGAGUGCAGAAGAGGAAAGUGGAAUUCCAUGUGUAGCGGUGAAAUGCGCAGAGAUAUGGAGGAACACCAGUGGCGAAGGCGACUUUCUGGUCUGUAACUGACGCUGAUGUGCGAAAGCGUGGGGAUCAAACAGGAUUAGAUACCCUGGUAGUCCACGCCGUAAACGAUGAGUGCUAAGUGUUAGGGGGUUUCCGCCCCUUAGUGCUGCAGCUAACGCAUUAAGCACUCCGCCUGGGGAGUACGACCGCAAGGUUGAAACUCAAAGGAAUUGACGGGGACCCGCACAAGCGGUGGAGCAUGUGGUUUAAUUCGAAGCAACGCGAAGAACCUUACCAAAUCUUGACAUCCUCUGACCCCUCUAGAGAUAGAGUUUUCCCCUUCGGGGGACAGAGUGACAGGUGGUGCAUGGUUGUCGUCAGCUCGUGUCGUGAGAUGUUGGGUUAAGUCCCGCAACGAGCGCAACCCUUAAGCUUAGUUGCCAUCAUUAAGUUGGGCACUCUAAGUUGACUGCCGGUGACAAACCGGAGGAAGGUGGGGAUGACGUCAAAUCAUCAUGCCCCUUAUGAUUUGGGCUACACACGUGCUACAAUGGACAAUACAAAGGG